rnacentral:rRNA from 1 species
UGCAGUCGAGCGGUAGAAGGAAGCUUGCUUCCUUUGAGAGCGGCGGACGGGUGAGUAAUGCCUAGGAAUCUGCCUGGUAGUGGGGGAUAACGUUCGGAAACGGACGCUAAUACCGCAUACGUCCUACGGGAGAAAGCAGGGGACCUUCGGGCCUUGCGCUAUCAGAUGAGCCUAGGUCGGAUUAGCUUGUUGGUGAGGUAAUGGCUCACCAAGGCAACGAUCCGUAACUGGUCUGAGAGGAUGAUCAGUCACACUGGAACUGAGACACGGUCCAGACUCCUACGGGAGGCAGCAGUGGGGAAUAUUGGACAAUGGGCGAAAGCCUGAUCCAGCCAUGCCGCGUGUGUGAAGAAGGUCUUCGGAUUGUAAAGCACUUUAAGUUGGGAGGAAGGGUUGUAGCCUAAUACGCUGCAACUUUGACGUUACCGACAGAAUAAGCACCGGCUAACUCUGUGCCAGCAGCCGCGGUAAUACAGAGGGUGCAAGCGUUAAUCGGAAUUACUGGGCGUAAAGCGCGCGUAGGUGGCAAAGUAAGAUGGGUGUGAAAUCCCCGGGCUCAACCUGGGAACUGCAUCCAUAACUGCUUCGCUAGAGUACGGUAGAGGGUAGUGGAAUUUCCUGUGUAGCGGUGAAAUGCGUAGAUAUAGGAAGGAACACCAGUGGCGAAGGCGACUACCUGGACUGAUACUGACACUGAGGUGCGAAAGCGUGGGGAGCAAACAGGAUUAGAUACCCUGGUAGUCCACGCCGUAAACGAUGUCAACUAGCCGUUGGAAUCCUUGAGAUUUUAGUGGCGCAGCUAACGCACUAAGUUGACCGCCUGGGGAGUACGGUCGCAAGAUUAAAACUCAAAUGAAUUGACGGGGGCCCGCACAAGCGGUGGAGCAUGUGGUUUAAUUGAAGCAACGCGAAGAACCUUACCUGGCCUUGACAUGCUGAGAACUUUCCAGAGAUGGAUUGGUGCCUUCGGGAACUCAGACACAGGUGUGCAUGGCUGUGUCAGCUCGUGUCGUGAGAUGUUGGGUUAAGUCCCGUAACGAGCGCAACCCUUGUCCUUAGUUACCAGCACAUUAUGGUGGGCACUCUAAGGAGACUGCCGGUGACAAACCGGAGGAAGGUGGGGAUGACGUCAAGUCAUCAUGGCCCUUACGGCCAGGGCUACACACGUGCUACAAUGGGGGGUACAGAGGGUUGCCAAGCCGCGAGGUGGAGCUAAUCCCGAAAAGCCUCUCGUAGUCCGGAUUGGAGUCUGCAACUCGACUCCAUGAAGUCGGAAUCGCUAGUAAUCGCGAAUCAGAACGUCGCGGUGAAUACGUUCCCGGGCCUUGUACACACCGCCCGUCACACCAUGGGAGUGGGUUGCACCAGAAGUAGCUAGUCUAACCUUCGGGAGGAC